rnacentral:rRNA from 1 species
AUUCCUACGGGAGGCAGCAGUGGGGAAUUUUGCGCAAUGGGGGAAACCCUGACGCAGCAACGCCGCGUGCGGGAUGAAGGCCUUCGGGUUGUAAACCGCUUUCAGCAGGGAAGAACCUAGACGGUACCUGCAGAAGAAGCUCCGGCUAACUACGUGCCAGCAGCCGCGGUAAUACGUAGGGAGCAAGCGUUAUCCGGAUUCAUUGGGCGUAAAGCGCGCGUAGGCGGCUUGUUAAGUCAGGUGUCAAAUCCAGGGGCUCAACCCUUGUCCGCACCUGAAACUGGCAGGCUUGAGUUUGGUAGAGGAAGAUGGAAUUCCCAGUGUAGCGGUGAAAUGCGCAGAUAUUGGGAGGAACACCGAUGGCGAAGGCAGUCUUCUGGGCCAUAACUGACGCUGAGGUGCGAAAGCUAGGGGAGCAAACAGGAUUAGAUACCCUGGUAGUCCUAGCCGUAAACGAUGGACACUAGGUGUGGGUGGGAUAGCCCUUCCACGCCGAAGCCAACGCAUUAAGUGUCCCGCCUGGGGAGUACGGCCGCAAGGCUAAAACUCAAAGGAAUUGACGGAAU